CUCUCUCUCUCUCGUUUGCUGCCGGAAAAAGGUUACUUGCGGCUCCAGAGACACUAAUUGAGAAAGAAGUGCAAGAGAACUCCAUGGUUAAACUCAAAUUUUUUUAUUGAGGCACAUGGUCUUCCUAUCUUGUCAGGAAGCAAAGCAAGCUAUUCAACUGAUGUACAAAAAUGGGAAAUGAUAGAUAUAUGUGAUGCUUUGGAGCUAUUAACUCCUCUAUUUGAAAGUGAAGAGGUACUACAAGUGCCCAAUUUACUUUUCUUCCGGUCUUUUAACCUUCUACUAGAUCUGCUUGUUUGUUGUUUGCUAAUUACUCGCUACACCUACUGAUAGGUUUGAGCUUAUGCUGUGAGUGUCCUUGAAAGAGCUGAUGAUGAGGAGCUCCAGUGUUACAUGCUUAAAAUGGUUCAAGCUCUCCUUUUUGAACGCUCAUAUAGAUCUCGGUUUUCUCAAUUCCUUGUCUAAAGGGCAUUACAGAAUGUUGCUGUGGAGCUUUUUGACAAUGUCUAUGAAAGGCGAUUUUACAGCACAUACAACUUACUCUAUGAGAGUAUGAAAAAGGUGUGGAACUUGGGAUGUGGGUUUUGGUUAACAGUGCCAGGUUGCUUCUCUUUAACUUGAUUAUGGAUAUGUUUCACAUGUGAAGUUGCAACUUGCAAGAUGAUGUAUGAUGAUCUCUGAGAAAAUAGUAGGAGAGGAGUCCAUUCGCCAAUGUUGGUUGUUGCCAUCAGAAGCUACUUUUGAUGAUGAUAAUGAAGAAGUUCAAAUAUUGGAGAUCCAAGAGUGUGAAGAGAAUUCACAAGUUCAAAUACGAGAGUCGUAUGAACUUAAUUUUUAAUUAUGUACGU